rnacentral:lncRNA from 1 species
GCAUAUUGAGCCUAGAGAAAGAAGAGUAGCACUAAAUCGUGGUGCUGAGUACUUGGAACGAUAUUUUCGUUUGAUCGCUUUUGCUGCAUAUCUUGGCAGCGAAGCAUUUGAUGGAUUUUGUGGACAAGGAGAAUCAAAGAUGACUUUCAAAGAUUGGCUGCACCAGAGGCCAGAGGUUCAAGCAAUGAAGUGGUCAAUUAGAUUAAGGCCUGGGAGAUUCUUUAAGAUGACUUUCAAAGAUUGGCUGCAUCAGAGGCCAGAGGUUCAAGCAAUGAAGUGGUCAAUUAGAUUAAGGCCUGGGAGAUUCUUUACCAUCCCUGUAAUGCCUCUGACAUCUGUCUGUCUCUGUUGCAGAUUUAU